rnacentral:lncRNA from 1 species
CCUUAACCUCUAAGCCACCUCGCCAGUCCAUGGAGUAUAUUGGUAAAUGUGGCUAUGUUGUAUGCCAUUUUCAUACGCAUUUCCUGCUUUUUUCCCCUAACGACUUGCUUGCGGAGUUUACAUUAUGGAAAUUAUGUUAGACUAAAGGCAGAUUUGAACCUGGGCAAUGGUGGGUCCACACCUUUAGUUUCAGCACCGGGGAGGCAGAGGCAACAGAUUGGAGGGAUUUGCGAUUUGAGUUCAGAAUGGGCUGCAAAGCAUCGACAGCACAUUUGGUUGGCUAAGGGACAUUCCCCGAAGCCGUGGCUCUGGGACUUCGGAUUUGCACUCAGCAGUCAGGGCGGUCUGCAGAAGCAGUGAGUUCGAGCCUUGACGAUGAUGGGUGUAGUGACUGACAUCUGCAGGAGCGGACCGUUCAAUCAACGGUCAUUUGCCACUUGAAGCAAAGUGGAACAGUGAACAGGCUGAACACUCGAAGCUGGUUUCGGCCUGCGACUCUGUCUUCACUGGUUCCACACAAGGGACCACUUGUCACACAGUGGGAGACGGGUUUAAGCUUUUCCCCCAGCAUCUGUCUCACUGAGGGGGCUGCAGCGGUUGUCACUUGCCAAGAAUGACCAGAAGGAAGAAAAUGCAGCAAAGGCUGGUUCAGGAGGAGCUGAGCCACCUCAUGAGGCAUAUGUAUGCAUGCAUGCAUGCGUUUUUAGCUCAGGUGCGUGGCUGUGUGAGGGGGUCAGGUCCCCAAGAACUCACCUAACGCUGUGUAACGAGGCUAACGAAGCUCUCUAUGACAAACCCUAAGGAAACUCCCCCAACUGCAGCCUUAGUGCCCAGCUCCGGUCUCAGAGACUAAAGAGCAGGCUGGCCUCCAACUCACAGACAUCCCCCUGCCUCCGCCUCCGCCUCCCAGGUGCUGGGACUGAGGGCGAGCGCCGCCACCGCCAGGCUGUGGCUUCUUCUUCUUUAGACUCUGACUUGAGGCGUUUUCUCCGGGAGCUCAAACCAGGCCGUUGGCCGGCGACUCCGCCCCACAGACCCGAGGCCUCUCCACAGCUCCACAGCCCCGGGGCCUCUCCACAGCCCCGGGCGGCUCCACAGCUCCACAGGCCCGGGAGCUCUCCACAGACCCAGGACCUCUCCACAGGCCCGGGCGGCUCCACAGCUCCACAGACCCGGGACCUCUCCACAGCCCCGGGGCCUCUCCACAGACCCGGGACCUCUCCACAGACCCGGACCUCUCC